CCCAACACUGCAACAAUGCAGCAACCUGGGCUCUCAUACCACCUGAGCAGUACCACAGACUGAUUGACUCCACACCACGCUGCAUUGCUGCAGUAAGUCAGGCAAAAGGAGUACAUAUUGAGUGCUGUACAUGAGCAUACUUUUCAUGUUCAUACUGUUCAGCUGGCCAACAUUUCUAG